CAGGGUUCGAUUCCGGAGAAGGAGCUUGAGAAUUGGCUACUACAUCUAAGGAAGGCAGCAGGCGCGCAAAUUACCCAAUCCCGAUUCGGGGAGGUAGUGACAAAAAAUAACAAUACCGGGCCUUUUUGGGCUUGGUAAUUGGAAUGAGGGAGAGUUAAACGGACCAUCGAGUAUCCAUUGGAGGGCAAGUCUGGUGCCAGCAGCUGCGGUAAUACCAGCUCCAAUAGCGUAUAUUAAAGUUGUUGCAGUUAAAAAGCUCGUAGUUGGACUUGUGUGCGCUGUCCGCGGGUGGCCUGCGCCCAAAAGGGCGUUUCGGUUCGGCCCCGGUGGCGCCUUGAAAUCUGCAGCUGGGGGGACGUUGGCCUUAACUGGUCGGCGACCGCACGCCGGCUGCUCGGUUACUGUGAGAAAAUUAGAGUGUUCAAGGCAGGCAUUGGGUGCAAUUAAAUACAUUAGCAUGGAAUAAUAAAAUAUGGCUCCUGCCGUAUUUUGUUGGUUUUGACUGGUGGGAGUAAUGAUUGAUAGGGACGGUUGGGGGUGCUAGUAUUGAGCGGCCAGAGGUGAAAUUCAUGGAUUCGCUCAAGACUAACUUAUGCGAAAGCAUUCACCAAGGACGUCCUCUUUAAUCAAGAACGAAAGUUGGGGGAUCGAAGACGAUCAGAUACCGUCGUAGUCUCAACCAUAAACUAUGUCGACUUGGGAUCGGCGGUAGUUUUUUCGUUAAGACACUGUCGGGACCACGGGAGAAAUCAAAGUGUCUGGACUCUGGGGGAAGUAUGGUCGCAAGGCUGAAACUUGAAGGAAUUGACGGAAGGGCACCACCAGGAGUGGAGCCUGCGGCUUAAUUUGACACAACACGGGGAAACUUACCAGGUCCAGAGAUGUAGAGGAUUGACAGAUUGAAGCUCUUUCUUGAUCACUUCGGUGGUGGUGCAUGGCCGUUCUUAGUUGGUGGAGUGAUUUGUCCGGUUAAUUCCGUUAACGAACGAGACCUCAGCCUGCUAGUGUAGUCGGCUGGAUUGCCUUUGGCGAUCCGUGAUUUCGACUUCUUAGAGGGACAAUCGACGCGCAGUCGAUGGAAGUUUGAGGCAAUAACAGGUCUGUGAUGCCCUUAGAUGUUCUGGGCCGCACGCGCGCUACACUGCUGGGCUCAGCGAGUUUUACUUGGCCGAGAGGCCCGGUUAAUCUUGUGAAAUCCCAGCGUGCUUGGGCUCGCCUCCUGCAACUGGAGGCGCCAACGAGGAAUUCCUAGUAGACGCAGGUCAUCAACCUGCAUCGAUUACGUCCCUGCCCUUUGUACACACCGCCCGUCGUUCCAUAAGAGUGAGGCAUCCGGUGAAUUCUCGGGAGAGCCUGGGCGUGGCCAGCAAUGGUCUGCUCGGGUUUGAACUUGCAUAAACUUGGUGCCUAUGAUUAGGGAAAAGUCGUAACAAGGUU
rnacentral:rRNA from 1 species